AUUGAACGCUGGCGGCAGGCUUAACACAUGCAAGUCGAGCGAGCGGCGGACGGGUGAGUAAAGUCUGGGAAACUGCCUGACGGCGGGGGAUAACUACUGGAAACGGUAGCUAAUACCGCAUACCAUCAGAUGUGCCCAGAUGGGAGUAGGUAGUAGGUGGGGUAACGGCUCCCCUAGGCGAGGAUCCCUAGCUGGUCUGAGAGGAUGACCAGCCACACUGGAACUGAGACACGGUCCAGACUCCUACGGGAGGCAGCAGUGGGGAAUAUUCCACAAUGGGCGCAGGCCUGAUGCAGCCAUGCCGCGUGUGUGAGGAGGGCCUUCGGGUUGUAAAGCACUUUCAGCGGGUAGGCGUUACCCGCAGAGGAAGCACCGGCUAACUCCGUGCCAGCAGCCGCGGUAAUUC
rnacentral:rRNA from 1 species